AGAGAGGCUGCCCACAGGAGAGAGCUGGAGAUAAGAGAGAGAGAGAGGGAAGAGAGGGAAAAAGAGAGAAAGUAUGAACUGGAAUUAGUGCAGGCUAAGCAGAAUAACACAGCCAACCCUAACAACCCUUCACCAGUUGUUGUUCCAUAUCCCAGGAAAUUUCCCACCUACAAGGCAGGUGAUAACACUGAGGCCUUCCUAGACAGAAGUAACAGAGGUGAGGAUGAGCUAAUGGUCACUAAUCAUUAUGAAUAUGUCAUUAAUAUGUACAAAUGUGCCAUCCUAAAGAGUAAGUGUACCCUAACAUUUUUGUGGGCGAGGAAGUUAAGUUUGGACAUGGAAGGAGGGGACCUAGGGCUCAGGCCCUAUAAAAGGGGCAAACUACCAUGUUGGGUAGGUUCAGCAUAUUCAUUGUUAGUUUGUUUCAAGCAACUGAAUAAAAAGAAAGGCAAGUUGGAAGGGGCAAAUAAAAAAUAUUAAGGGAGUACUUUUUAAAUCAAGUUUAAGUCCCAAAAGUUUUGUGGAAAUUGUUUUCUAUUUUCUUCUAAAGAAGUAGGUAUUCACCCACGAAAGCUCAUGCUCCAAAACGUCUGUUAGUCUAUAAGGUGCCACAGGAUUCUUUGCUGCUUCUAAAAAUAUUGAUUUAUCUGAUUCUGUUUUUCAUUAAUACUAAAAUUAUUACUGGAGUGUUAAGUUCUUCACCUCUCACUCAAAACUUCAGGAACUUGGAACAUCAGACUCUUGACAUGUCAGAGGCAAGACUGAUCUUUUUUCUUUUAUCACCAGGUGAUAAGGUCAGUCCCAGGAACAUAACUAUGAAGCAAUAAUGGAUUACAAUUAUAUGAAUUCUUGGAAGAGACUAAUAAUACUCCACAAUUUUUUAAAAUCUAUGGGACUAAAGCCUACAAAGCCCUAUAUUUUCUUGCUUGUGUCAUAUGCAGUGGAAAUGACAGGAUACAACAGUAAUGGGCAGUGAAUAUCAAAGGCCAGGGAAGGCUAAGCCUUCCCUGACCCAGGCUGUGGCCCCACCCAUGUCCUGCCCCAAGGCCCUACCCUCCCUCCCCCUCUACUCUGAAGCCGGCGGGGGCUCACUCAGCUCCAAUCGCAGCCUGGAGCUCAGGCCUGUUGGUGGCCCAGGGCAGACUGGGGCUUGCCCGGCAGUGGGGCCAGCAGCUUGGCCCAGCCAGCGCUGUGGGAGUUGGUGGCUCAGCCUAUCGCUACUGGGGCCAGCCGGCACAGCUGGGCUGUGGCUUCUCUUACCACUUGCUGGGGAGGGAGUGCUCGGGGCUCCAGUGGGUGGAGGUGGGGCCUCAGGUGGAAGAGGAAAGGCCAGCGGACUAGCAUCCCUGAAGAAAGGCGGAGGUGUCACCCACGGCCUAUGGCAACAGUAGCUCUAGCAAGGAGUGACAAUAGUCAAGGAGAGGUCCUCCUCUAACCAU